rnacentral:rRNA from 1 species
AAUCCAGACCCUACGGGGUGCAGCAGGCGCGAAAACUUGGCAAUGCGAGCAAUCGUGACCAGGAAACUCCAAGUGCGUAGGGUAAGACCUACGCUUUUCUUGACUCUUCAAAGGUCUUGGAAUAAGGGGUGGGUAAGGACGGUGCCAGCCGCCGCGGUAAUACCGGCGCCUCAAGUGGUAGUCGCUUUUAUUGGGCCUAAAACGUCCGUAGCCGGUCUGGUGCAUUCGUGGGUAAAUCAACCCGCUCAACGGGUUGAAUUCUGCGAGCACGGCCAGACUUGGGACCGGGAGAGGUGUGGGGUACUCUCAGGGUAGGGGUAAAAUCCUGUCAUCCUGAGAGGACCACCUGUUGCGAAGGCGCCACACUAGAACGGAUCCGACGGUCAGGGACGAAACCUAGGGGCACGAACCGGAUUAGGUACCCGGGUAGUCCUAGGUGUAAACGCUGUGGACUUGAUGUUGGGGGCGCUCCGAGCGCUCUCAGUGUCGAAGCGAAGGUGAUAAGUCCACUGCCUGGGGAGUACGGUCGCAAGGCUGAAACUUAAAGGAAUUGGCGGGGGAGCACUGCAACCUGAGGAUUGUGCGGUUUAAUUGGAUUCAA